GAUGAACGCUGGCGGCGUGCUUAACACAUGCAAGUCGAACGGACUUUACAUGAAGCCUAGCGAAUGUAAAGUUAGUGGCGGACGGGUGAGUAACGCGUGAAUAACCUGCCUUAUACUGGGGGACAACAGUUGGAAACGACUGCUAAUACCGCAUAAGCGCACGGUGCUGCAUGGCGCAGUGUGAAAAACUCCGGUGGUAUAAGAUGGAUUCGCGUCUGAUUAGCUAGUUGGUGAGGUAACGGCUCACCAAGGCGACGAUCAGUAGCCGGCCUGAGAGGGUGAACGGCCACAUUGGGACUGAGACACGGCCCAA
rnacentral:rRNA from 1 species